AUGUCGAAAGAUAAUUUCAACGUCGCUCGUUGUGGUUCAGUGGAAUCACGUCGCCUCUCUGUGUCAGAGGAGGCAGAAAUACUUGAGCCGUGGAAGCCUCAACGAAGAGUUCAUGAGCUGGACAUCAAGUGCAGAACUCAUAAGGAGUACAACUCUAAGCUCCAAUCACAGGUAAAGGUGCUUCAGCAGAGCUUAAAAGUUGUGAGGGCUGAGAAAACCAUGCUGCAGGAGUCGGUCAGUGAAAACACAGAGAUAAAGAAAGAACUGACCCAGGUCUUGAACCUUCUGUCCAAGGAAAAAAGUGUCAGGGAUAAAAAUGACGCUUACAUAAGAAAGUUGGAAGAGAAGUUGGGUUUGAGUGUGGAGAAUGAAAAUAUGACUGCUGGGCUGGUCCAGUUCAAAUCUCUAAGUGAUACACAAAAAACUGAAAUUGAAAAUCUGAAAGCAGCAGUGCAGGAUCUAGAGGAAAAUGAGAGGAUCCUGAGGGACAACCUCACUGCUGAACACGGCCGACUAAAAUCUCUCAGAGAGGAAAAACACACAGAGGUUGAACAGCUGAGGGCAGAACUUCAGAGUCUUCAGGACAAUGACACAAUCCUGAAUGAGCAGAACAAGAAUCUCACUGCUGACAUGGCCCAACUUCAGUGCCUCUAUGCGAAAAAUCAGGCAGAAAUUGAACAGCUGAGAACAACAGCGUAUGACCUUGAGCAAUGCGCAACAGAGCCUCAGCAAGACUGUAGUGUUGAAAAUGAACUAUUACAGAAGGUGGCUACAUUGCAGACAGAAAACAAAAGCCUGUUAGCAGCAGUCCAGGAUCUACGGGAAAAGGAGAAGAUCCUGAGGGACAGCCUCACUGCUGAACAUGACCGACUAAAAUCUGUCAGAAAGGAAAAACUUGCAGAGGUCGAACAGUUGAGGGCAGAACUGCAGAGUCUUCAGGACAAUGACACAAUCCUGAAUGAGCAGAACAAGAAUCUGAGUGCUAACGUGGCUCAACUUGAAUGCCUGUAUGUGAAAAAUCAAGCAGAGAUUGAAAAACUGAAGGCAACAGUGUAUGAUCUUGAGCAAUGUGCAGAGGAGGUUCAGCAAAACCACAGUGCUGAAGAUGAGAUAUUGCAGAAGGUGGCCAGACUGCAGACAGAGAACAAAAACCUGUUAGCAGCAGUUGAGGAUCUGCAGAUAAGUGAGACCUCUCUGUACGAGCAGAAUAAGAACAUAUGUGCCGAACUGGCACUGGCUGAAUCUCAUAUAAAAACAAAACAGGCAGAGAAUAAAAAUCUGUGGUCAGAAGUUAAUGAUCUACAGGAAAAUGUGAAAAUCUUAAAUGAGAAAACAGAGAACCUGGUGGCUGAGGUGGCCCACCAUGAAUCUCUGCGAGAGAAAAAACAAGGUGAGAUUGAAAGUCUAAGGGCAGCAGUAUGUGAACUUCAGUGUCAAGUAAGAGUAGCUCAGGAAGUUAACAGAGAUGGGGAUGAGGUAAUGCAGAAGCUGACUCACGUUGAAUCUCUUAUGGAGAAAAAACAGGCAGAGAUCAAACAGUUGGGGCUAGCACUGCAUGAUCUUCAGGAAAAAGAAGGAUUUCUGAAUAUGCAGAAUGAGAGCAUGGCUGAUGAGCUGGCCCGACUUGAGUCUCUGGCAGAGAAACUAAACGAAAAGAAUCAAAACCUGAAGAUAACUGUGCAAGAUCUUCAGUGCCAGCUGGAGGAGGCUAACAUACUAAUCUGGAAUAAAGAUGAGCUAAUAAGAAAGCAAGAGAGGGAAACUGCUUAUAAGCAGGAGCUGAUAGAGGAGCUUUAUGUCAUCACAACUGACAUGAAACAGUCAAUCCAUGAGCUUAAAGAGAUGAUAGAGACUAGGCAGGAGGAGAAGAUAUUAGGCGAUGUCAAUUUCAGAGAGGAGUCUAGAAAUGCUGAAAAUACAGAACAACUGGACUCCCCUGAGGAGCAGACCGAUGAGAGCCUUCCAGUUCAGACCAGAAGUUUGUGGCGUCUCUGUACUAAAGGUUUGCGUAUUGGCAUUACCACUGCAGGUGUACUUAUUCCUCUGGGUAUGCUGGCCAGCCAAGUGACUGCCAACUGCAAUACAGUCCAUAACUGCUGCCCGUCAGUCUGUGCCUACCAGCUCCUAGAGCCCUACUACAACUUCCAACAAACAGUUCCUCAUCCCUUCUAA
rnacentral:lncRNA from 15 species